rnacentral:sRNA from 1 species
GCUGAGUGUGGUGGCGCACACCUAUGAUCUGAGCAGCCCGGGAGGCUGAGACAGGAGGAUUGUGAGUUCAAAGCCAGCCUCAGCAAAAGUGAGGCGCUAAGCAACUCAGUGAGACCCUGUCUCUA